GAGUUUGAUUAUGGCUCAGGAUGAACGCACAAGACGUGCCUAACACAUGCAAAUCGAAUGAAAAUAAUUAAUUAUUGUUUUCAUGGUGAACGGGUGAGUAACACAUAAGAAUCAGCUUUUAGAUAAGGCAUAAAAGAGUAAUAUCUUGGUAAUUCCUUAUAUGCGCAGCAGUGCUUAAAAAGGGGAGUCCCGUCUAAAAACGAGCUUAUGCCUGAUUAGCUAGUUGGCGAGUUAAAAGCUCACCAGGGCGAAGAUCAGUAGCUGGCCUGAGAGGGCGGCCAGCCACAUUGGGACUGAGACACGGCCCAAACUCCUACGGGAGGCAGCAGUGGGGAAUCUUCUGCAAUGGGCGCAAGCCUGACAGAGCGGCGUCGUGUGAAGGAAGAAGGCCUGAAAUAGGUUGUAAACUUCUUUUACUGAGUAAUGAAUAAUGACAACGCAGUAAAAAAGUAUCGGCUAACUCCGUGCCAGCAGCCGCGGUAAUACGGGGGAUGCAAGCGUUAUCCGGAAUAACUGGGCGUAAAGCGUCUGUAGGUGGUUUAGUGUGUUCUUAGUUAAAUUCUGAAGCCUAACCUCAUGAAAAGUAAGAAAACUAUUAGACUUGAGUACGAUAGGGGUAAGAGGAAUUCUUCGAGAAGUAGUGAAAUGCGAAGAUACGAAGGAGAAGAUCAUAAGCGAAGGCUUCUUACUGGGUCGUAACUGACACUGAGAGACGAAAGCUAGGGGAGCGAAUGGGAUUAGAUACCCCAGUAGUCCUAGCUGUAAACGAUGGAUAUUCGGUGCCGGAAAUUUUAUUAGAACAUUUCGGUACCCUAGCUAACGCGUUAAAUAUCCCGCCUGAGGAGUACGCUCGCAAGGGUGAAACUCAAAGGAAUUGACGGGGGCUCGC
rnacentral:rRNA from 1 species